ACGAACGCUGGCGGCAGGCCUAACACAUGCAAGUCGAGCGCGUGUAGCAAUACACGAGCGGCGCACGGGUGAGUAACGCGUGGGAAUCUGCCCUACAGUGGGGAACAACCACGGGAAACUGUGGCUAAUACCGCAUACGUCCUUCGGGAGAAAGGCUUCGGCCGCUGUAGGAGGAGCCCGCGUCCGAUUAGCUAGUUGGUGAGGUAAUGGCUCACCAAGGCGACGAUCGGUAACUGGUCUGAGAGGACGACCAGUCACACUGGGACUGAGACACGGCCCAGACUCCUACGGGAGGCAGCAGUGGGGAGUAUUGGACAAUGGGGGAAACCCUGAUCCAGCCAUGCCGCGUGAGUGAUGAAGGCCUUCGGGUUGUAAAGCUCUUUUAGCGGGGAAGAUAAUGACGGUACCCGCAGAAUAAGCCCCGGCUAACUUCGU
rnacentral:rRNA from 1 species